AAUAUGUUUUAGGAAAAGUAAUGUUACGUUGGAGGUUGCGAAGUACAAAGAAGGAAAGGCCGUUGAUAUAAAGAUCAAUCCGGGAGGAAAACCACCUAAACACGUGAACCCAAAAUACGAAGUUUUGUAUGCUACGAAACACUGCAUUAUUACCGGUAACGUGCCGCAGCCAACGCUCAGAACAUACUGCACCUACUGGGUCAAAAAGAGCAAUGUGAAGAAUCGGUACUGGGCUUGUGACUUCAUAUUAGACCAUUUUUGCCGAAGCCCAGAAAUUGUCAUUAGGGAUACAAACAAGUGUUGGCCUGAAGGCAACGCAUAAAGAUAAGAAUGAACUACACCAAUAAAAUGAACGAUGUUGUUCAUUGUUAGCGAAAAGCCGAAAGCGUCCAGAUAACUCGCUUUAUUAAAGAA